UUGAAAAUACAUGUGUGUUCGAUUUUCUCGAAUUUACAACAAAAGUAGAAUCUUUUUGUAAAAUAUUGAUGGCCCUGAAAAGGACCGAUUAUAAGAGAUAUCAUCGGCUGCUGGCACUCUCAGCUCUAUUUAUGUCCAAUGUCAUAUUUCCUCGUCUCUCGAUGGGCUUCCAGUGUAACGUGAACGCUGCCAUUUUGUUUAUUUACGUUUGUGACGUCAUUUUCAUGGGAGGUAACUCAAGUACAAAUAAACAAACCAAAAGGUUAUUCACCGGUGAAUAAUAGGGUUAUUCACCGCUGGUGUAAAUUUUUAGGGUUAUUCGUCCUUCCUUGCAAUUGAAUGAAAUUUAACUGAAUUAUUCCAUGUCACGUGAUUACGUUUC
rnacentral:lncRNA from 1 species